rnacentral:tRNA from 1 species
GGUGGCUCAGUGGUAGAGCACUUGCCUUGCACGCAUCAGGCCCUGGGUUCGAUUCCUCAGCACCA